GUCAGAUCUUUGAUCAAUUUGAUGCGAUGUUUUGAAGUUUUCACCAUUUUCUUCGAUCUCUCUUCUCUUCCAAAAAGAAGAAGUUUUUGAUUCAAAAGUUGGUGCUUCUCACUUGGUUCGCAAGGGGCGAUUCCGGUGAUAGUAAGCUCACCAAAGAUGGAAACACCUUUUGAGAGAAAUGGGCUUAAUUCUAAAAUAUUUUCCAUCUUCGGUUUCGUCUUCCUUCAACCUCCUCUUCUCUCACCGCCACUUUCCUGAUGAGGACCGAUGUUCCUUCCUCAACAAAUCUGAGGUUGUUGAUCGUGUCAUUACCUCGCCAAGAACUUCCAGAAAGUUGACCCUUCCAAGUGCGCAUGAGCUCAAUAGGGAGAAGAACAUGUCUAUUCCUCAAUUUGAACCGUGCAGAUGCACGUCGAUGUUUUCUAUGCUGGGAUGAACAACUGUUGCUAGACGAAGUUGUUAAUGUUCGGGAUGCUCUUAAGCGAUCUGAUUCUGGAAAAGAACAAUCUCCAAGGAAGGUAGAUGAAGGUUCCAAGGAGUCUAAAGGCGGAUCUCAAGCCGCUUCAGAAGCUAAUGAGUCAGCCUCCACUUUAAAGUGGGCACAAAAACCAGAUCAGUUAUGUUCGUUCAGUAUCAGAUCAGAAU